GUGCCAGCCGCCGCGGUAAUACCGGCAGCCCGAGUGAUGGCCGAUCUUAUUGGGCCUAAAGCGUCCGUAGCUGGCCGCGCAAGUCCAUCGGAAAAUCCACCCGCCCAACGGGUGGGCGUCCGGUGGAAACUGCGUGGCUUGGGACCGGAAGGCGCGACGGGUACGUCCGGGGUAGGAGUGAAAUCCCGUAAUCCUGGACGGACCACCAAUGGGGAAACCACGUCGAGAGACCGGACCCGACAGUGAGGGACGAAAGCCAGGGUCUCGAACCGGAUUAGAUACCCCUGUAGUCC
rnacentral:rRNA from 1 species